rnacentral:lncRNA from 1 species
GGGAGUAAAAAAAAGUUGGACAUAUUUAUGUUGACGGACGAAAAUGACAAUAUCUGUGCGAGUAGUUUGCAUUUUGUUGCCUGUAUUUUCUGAGAUAAAAGGAGGAAAAAAGGAGCUGAAUCGAGAAAGGCGAAAAGCAAAGUGAGCUACGAUUUCUUAUUUUUGAGGCUAUUUAUCCUUAGUUUUGGUGUUGUUCGUAGCGAUUCAAGAUAUUUACAUGGAUGUUAUAUUGUGUUUUUGUUGAGGUUUUCUCUGUAUCUCAUAUGCUCAAAUUAACAGAUGUAUUUAGCGAUACUUGUUGAUUUCCAUUUUAUUUGAAUCUAGUAGAAGCCUAGAACAAAUUUUUUGAGCUGUGAAUUGCGGUUUGUUUGAGGGAUUUGCUGUUUUGAUUGUCUUCUUAUUCAAGUGCAGAAAUGUGAUAAAAUUAGUUUGUAUGAACUAUGAAGACAUUGUUACACGAUUUGAAAUUUGUCUAAAAUAAUCAGAAAGAAAGGGCAAAACCAACAAAAAUCGAAGUAUUGGAGAUAAUGAAGCUGUCUGUUAUCAGAUAAGGAAGCUAAUUAUGGAUAAUUUAUUACAAUCUUAUAGUUUUCAUUCAUCUGAUGUAAAUCAAGCGUUUCUUUGCGAUUUUUGUUCAAGUGUUUGCCUAGAAUCCCGAGGAAGUGUUUGUUUAUUUGUAUGAGUUGGGAUGUGAGAGCAUUAUGUGUGAUCUUAGACCACCUCGCCCUUUAUGAAUGGAAGUAUCUUAGCUUUCGGGUUUGAGAAGUUCAUUGUUAAGUGACUGUUACAUCUUAUAGCAAUCAGCAAAUUAGAGUUUAUUUGUGUGACAGGCAGUAUUCUCGUUUCUGCCAUAUAUCUCACCUUAUAAUCCUUACACACAGACACACAUCUGAUAUUAAUGUGCAGCUUGUGUGGUGCACAAUACCAGAAAAGUAUGAUUAUAGGGAUCAACUGAUAUGGUACAUGUUUGUCUUUCAAAUUAGAUGUAAAGUUGAAUUAUGAAUGCAAAAGAACUUUUCUCUAACUUUAGGAAUGUGUUUCUGAGUUCAGUUUAUACAAACUAAAGAGGAAUGGCAGAUGCUGAAGAACCCAUUACAUUCUUUUAGGUGGGAAAAAAGAACAUUCAACACAAUAUGAUUUUUAAACAAUCCUCAUUAACAAAAAUAAAAUAAUAACAAUAAUAGUACAAGAAUCAUCCAAAUCUUCAGCUCUGAGAUGUGCUUAAAAAUCUUUGGUGGAGACCUUGAACUGAUAAUCGCUCUCAAUGUUUUCCUUAAAUUCAGGGGGCAUGUUGUUUAAGAUCAAAUCUUGGAAUGUUUUCUGCUGCAACAAGCUGCUCGGAAAGUUUGCCAGUUUGGGACAACAUCUGAUGUUGACCUCUUUGAGUUUCUUCAUUGCGCCGUCUUCCACUUCCCAUUUCUUGAGACCUUCG